rnacentral:lncRNA from 1 species
GGAACAUUGAUGUACAAGUUUUUGGGAGGACACACUUUCAAUUCUCCAAUUCUCUCUCUAUAUAUCCUUUGGAGUAUGCUUAUUUUUUAAGCUUCUUGUUCUAUUUAGACAAAAGAAAGCAAACUUUUUAUAUUGACACUCUGAACCACUUAUAAACCGGAAGUUCUGGUUGUCUCUUGGUUUUGAGUGUUAGGUGAAAUCUAACACCCUUCAGGUUGAGAUUCCACAAUACAGGAAAGGUAGCACAAAUGGUGUGGUGGCCCACACCUGUAAUCCCAGCUACUUGGGAGGCUGAGGCAGAACUGCAAGUUUCAAACCAUCCAGGAAAAUUUAAUGAGGUCCUCAAAUUUUUAAAAAGGGCUGGAUGUGUUGGGGAUGGGGCACACCUGUAAUCUCACAUCUUGGGAGGCUGAAGCAGGAAGAUCACAAAUUCAAGGGCUGGUUUAGCAAUAGAGACUUAACAAGGCCCUGAGCAACUCAGUGAAGACCCUGUCUCAAAAAAUAAAGGGGGCUGGGGCUGGGGCUCAGUGGUAGUGUACUUGCCUGGCAUGUGUGAAACACUAGGUUCGAACCUCAGCACCACAUAAAUAUAAAAUAAAGAUAAUUUGUCUACCUGUAACUAAAAUAUAAAUGUUUAAAAAAUAAUAAUAAAAUAAAAAGGGCUGGGAACGUGGUUCAGUGGUAAACAUUCCUCUAGUAUGUUUAAGGAUGACUCUUGUUUCUUUUUUAGUGAAUAUUUAAACAAAUUAAUCAUUGUGAGAUGUUAUUAUGGCUAUUUUCUGGGUUCAAUACUGAAUACAAAAAACGAUAACAACAACAAAACCCCAAAUAAAACAAAAACUAAACCACUUGGUAGUUUUUUUUUUUGAGUCUGUAGUCUGUACCCCAGACUUGUCUUAGGAACUCUUGGGCUCAAGAGAUCCUCUUGCCUCACCCUCCUGAAUUC